GCAUGGCGGAAUCGGUUCUUGACCAUGCACACGCGUAGGCACACGCAGAACCGACGGAGAAAUUCUCUCUCUAGGGAGCGAUUCUCUUGGCAUUUUUCUGCUUCUGACUGUCUCCAGAUGCUGUUCACCGCUGCUAUAUAUUCAUUCCUAACGCCGUGCAUCGGAGAGCUCGGCUCUGCUCUGUUUCUCUGGCCCUGAACGUGUGAAGUGACUCGGCUCGCCGGCCUCGAUCUUCAUCCUUGGCGCAUUGAGGUUGAGAGUUUAUAGAGUUUUCGCCGGUCACGGUCGAUCAUCAAUCUCAAGAGGGCGCAGAACUGAAGGAAGGAAAUUAUUUUUUGUUCCGAUUCGCGGCUCUGAGAGAGAGAGAGAGAGAGAGAGAGAGAGAGAGAGAGAGAGAGAGAGAGAGAGAGAGAGAGAGAGAGAGAGAGAGUACGAGAGAGGAACGCUCGAACACAAAAUUUACUCUCGUGGAACCAAGUGCGAGAGGCUUCGAGAACACGCUGAUCGACGCUGAAAUCCGCCAUUUAAGGUCACUAGCAUUCGCCGACAAUCGCCUUGCACCGCUCGCAACCGGAGGUACGGACUCAGAGAAAGAGUUUCUAAGACGCAGAUGCAAUGCUCUGUUUUGGCUCUGUUUCGCAGCCAAAAAGCCUUGAAGUAAUUGGACUUUGCUCGAUCACACUCCUGCAGCUUCAACCACCGGCGACGGCAGUCUUGGAAAUACUAGUUCUCAGUUCAAUCAAUGUUCCUGGUCAUGCAUCUACCAGCUUGCUAAAAAAACAAGCCUCGGAAUUUGGAGUGGAAGACCUAAGUGGUUCAUUAAAUGUCAUGAAUGUCGUUUGGCUAUCGGAUAUGAUGGAAAGGGAGGAAAAUCUUGAGUAUCUAGAAGCGCCGGACCAACUAUACACCAAUGAUGAGAUUCAAGAAGUUCCGGAAGAAUUGAUGAUGUAUCAGUAGAUACAUGCAAUGAUCCCGAGGUCGACGGCAACGUCCAACCGAAGUCAACCAAGGACUUUGAUCCUCCGGCGAAGGCCCUCCUGCCUUCAAAUGCACCAUCGCGACCUCCAUUACCUCCGUUUUGCUCGGUUUUGGAGUGAUGAGCGGGGUGAUGCUGUGCAUAAAAAAGGAGCUAAAGAUAACUAACGUGUAAGUUAAAGACCUGACAAGAUUCUCAAUGCGUUCUCGCUCCUUGGGUCAGUGAUUGCAGGGCGAAUCUCCAAUUGGAUCAACCACCAUUGUACGUGCUUGUCAUGCUCAGCGUGUAAAAAUCGCCUUGUGCUCGCUCGUCAUCCAGGUCCUUGUCAUGCUGAAAUCCCCUAGUGGCUCAUCAUGCACGGCCGCUUGGGUGAUGAGAAACACUAUUUCGCCACAACCUCCGACUCCAAGGAGGAAGCCGUGCUUCGGCUCGCCAACAUCCCUAAGAAGUGCAACUAAGACGUUGUCAAGAUCACCAAACGGAGCACAAGAGAGGGGAAGUAGAGGGAACUCCUCCCCUGAUCCCGUCCGUUCGCCACAUACUCACUGCAGAGCGUUUGUGAUGAUUAAAUUGACUUGAAGAUAUUAUUUUCGAUUUAUAGUAUAUAUCAAUAUAUUGUUUUUGUAAAG